rnacentral:rRNA from 1 species
GUCGUAACAAGGUUUCCGUAGGUGAACCUGCGGAAGGAUCAUUAUCGUAUAAACUUGAACAGGCUGUUGCUGGCCCUCUUGGGGUGUUGUGCACGCUUGUCUCAUUUUUGUCAUUUCUCCAACUGUGCACAUUCUGUAGAUCCUGGAUGGGUUCAUGAACUCGCGUUCGAGUCGGGACUGCUGUUGCUUUUUCCUUGGAAAGGCCGGCUUUUCCUCAUAUCUUUUUCCAGGUCUAUGUCAUUUACCACAACCUCUUGAAUAUGUUUAGAAUGUGUUGCAUAUAAAAAUGAAAUAUAUACAACUUUCAGCAACGGAUCUCUUGGCUCUCGCAUCGAUGAAGAACGCAGCGAAAUGCGAUAAGUAAUGUGAAUUGCAGAAUUCAGUGAAUCAUCGAAUCUUUGAACGCAUCUUGCGCUCCUUGGUAUUCCGAGGAGCAUGCCUGUUUGAGUGUCUUUUAACUUAUCAACCACUUUCAUUGUCUGAAUGUGGCUUGGAUGUGGGGGCUUCUUUGCGGGCCUUUUGAAAGAAAAAGGUCGGCUCCCCUGAAACGCAUUAGUGGCAUCUGAGCUGCUACUGUAGGUGUGAUAAAUAUCUAUGCCUCUGGUAUGCUGCAUGAACAGAUUGUGCCGCUUCGAAAACCAAAAAAAAAGAAAUACUUCUUGACAAACUUGACCUCAAAUCAGGUAGGACUACCCGCUGAACUUAA